GCGCCCGUAGCUCAGUGGACAGCGCGGCGGGCUUCUGAUCCGCGGGUCCCAGGUUCGAAUCCUGGCGGGCGCA
rnacentral:tRNA from 1 species